rnacentral:tRNA from 1 species
GCGGGUAUAGCACAAUGGUAGUGCAGCAGCCUUCCAAGCUUUAGAAACGCCCAAUUUUCUGCG